rnacentral:rRNA from 1 species
UACGAACUGUGCGAACGUUAUUCGGAAUCACUGGGCUUAAAGGGUGCGUAGGCGGUUCUCUAAGUCAGGUGUGAAAUCUCUCGGCUCAACCGGGAAACUGCGCCUGAUACUGGAGGACUGGAGUGAGGCAGGGGUGUGUGGAACUUCCGGUGGAGCGGUGAAAUGUGUAGAUAUCGGGAGGAACACCUGAGGCGAAGGCGGGCUACUGGGCCGAUACUGACGCUGAUGCGCGAAAGCCAGGGGAGCGAACGGG